rnacentral:rRNA from 1 species
GCCCAGACCCCUACGGGAGGCAGCGGUCGGGAAUAUUGCGCAAUGGAGGAAACUCUGACGCAGUGACGCCGCGUAUAGGAAGAAGGUUUUCGGAUUGUAAACUAUUGUCAUUAGGGAAGAAAAAAGACAGUACCUAAGGAGGAAGCUCCGGCUAACUACGUGCCAGCAGCCGCGGUAAUACGUAGGGAGCGAGCGUUAUCCGGAAUUAUUGGGUGUAAAGGGUGCGUAGACGGGAAAAUAAGUUAGUUGUGAAAUCCCUCGGCUCAACUGAGGAACUGCAACUAAAACUGUAUUUCUUGAGUGCAGGAGAGGAAAGUGGAAUUCCUAGUGUAGCGGUGAAAUGCGUAGAUAUUAGGAGGAACACCAGUGGCGAAGGCGACUUUCUGGACUGUAACUGACGUUGAGACACGAAAGUGUGGGGAGCAAACAGGAUUAGAUACCCUUGUA